rnacentral:rRNA from 1 species
UACAGAGGGUGCGAGCGUUAAUCGGAAUUACUGGGCGUAAAGCGCGCGUAGGCGGCUUUUCAAGCCGAUUGUGAAAUCCCCGGGCUUAACCUGGGAACUGCAGUCGGGACUGUCUAGCUAGAGUAUGGGAGAGGGAAGUGGAAUUUCAGGUGUAGCGGUGAAAUGCGUAGAUAUCUGAAGGAACAUCAGUGGCGAAAGCGACUUCCUGGACCAAUACUGACGCUCAUGUGCGAAAGCGUGGGGGAGCAAACAG